rnacentral:lncRNA from 1 species
AGGGGACCUGGCUUCCUCCGACCUCGGACUUUCGGCUUCGACCCUCACCAGGGAACCCCUUAAACGUUCGACUUCUGCUUCCAAUUCUCUCUCUCUCAUUAAUAUCUCCAUGUAUCUUCGAUGAAAUCACUGGCUUUCGUUCUCUGCCUCUCGACGCCUUUUUCUCAGGACCUCGGAUUCUGCCUCCGCAUCCUUGACGGCCUGUUGCUCGCAUACCAGCUGGAUCUUCAAUUGCUGCAGCUCGGCCUUUCCCUCCCCAAGAGCGACGAAUAGUUUUUCUGUGGUCCUCCUCAGGGAUUGGAGUUCGUCGGAA